GACGAACGCUGGCGGCGUGCCUAAUACAUGCAAGUUGAGCGCUGAAGGUUGGUACUUGUACCAACUGGAUGAGCAGCGAACGGGUGAGUAACGCGUGGUGAAUCUGCCUUUGAGCGGGGGACAACAUUUGGAAACGAAUGCUAAUACCGCAUAAAAACUUUAAACACAAGUUUUAAGUUUGAAAGAUGCAAUUGCAUCACUCAAAGAUGAUCCCGCGUUGUAUUAGCUAGUUGGUGAGGUAAAGGCUCACCAAGGCGAUGAUACAUAGCCGACCUGAGAGGGUGAUCGGCCACAUUGGGACUGAGACACGGCCCAAACUCCUACGGGAGGCAGCAGUAGGGAAUCUUCGGCAAUGGACGAAAGUCUGAACGAGCAACGCCGCGUGAGUGAAGAAGGUUGUCGGAUCGUAAAACUCUGUUGGUAGAGAAGAACGUUGGUGAGAGUGGAAAGCUCAUCAAGUGACGGUAACUACCCAGAAAGGGACGGCUAACUACGUG
rnacentral:rRNA from 1 species